rnacentral:rRNA from 1 species
UGAUGUGGUGACAAACUACAAAAAAGUAGUCUCAGUUCGGAUUGAAGGCUGAAAUUCGCCUUCAUGAAGCCGGAAUUGCUAGUAAUGGCAGGUCAGCAUACUGCCGUGAAUACGUUCCCGGGCCUUGUACACACCGCCCGUCACACCAUGAGAGUUGGGAACACCCGAAGCCUGUGAGCUAACGCUAAGAGGCAGCAGUCGAAGGUAGAAUCAAUGAUUGGGGUGAAGUCGUAACAAGGUAUC